rnacentral:lncRNA from 1 species
AAUGAAAAGAGAUACAUGAGUUAGAUCAAUAAUAAACCCUCUGUUUACAAGGUUCAUCUUCCCUCCUGAGAUGAUGGAGCCUAGCCAUGCAUGAAAAAGGUGCCGUCCGCCAUCGCCAUCUUCAUCUUGCUUCAAGGAAGGAAAGAGAGAAAAAGUUUGUAAAGGAAGGUAGGAUAGAAGGAAGAGGGAAAAGGUUUGUAGAGGAAGG